rnacentral:rRNA from 1 species
ACGGGUGAGUAACGCGUGGGAACGUGCCUUUCGGUUCGGAAUAACUCAGGGAAACUUGAGCUAAUACCGGAUACGCCCUUCGGGGGAAAGAUUUAUUGCCGAAAGAUCGGCCCGCGUCCGAUUAGCUAGUUGGUGAGGUAAUGGCUCACCAAGGCGACGAUCGGUAGCUGGUCUGAGAGGAUGAUCAGCCACACUGGGACUGAGACACGGCCCAGACUCCUACGGGAGGCAGCAGUGGGGAAUAUUGGACAAUGGGCGCAAGCCUGAUCCAGCCAUGCCGCGUGAGUGAUGAAGGCCCUAGGGUUGUAAGGCUCUUUCGCCAGGGACGAUAAUGACGGUACCUGGAUAAGAAGCCCCGGCUAACUUCGUGCCAGCAGCCGCGGUAAUACGAAGGGGGCUAGCGUUGUUCGGAAUCACUGGGCGUAAAGCGCACGUAGGCGGAUCUUUAAGUCAGGGGUGAAAUCCCGAGGCUCAACCUCGGAACUGCCUUUGAUACUGGAGGUCUAGAGUCCGGGAGAGGUGAGUGGAACUGCGAGU